GGAAUAAAUCCCUAGCUAAUUAGUGACGGAUUUACAAGGAAUCUGCGACGAAAAUUAUUUUUGUAGAUAUGGUGUAAAUUUUAGCAUGUUAGCGAGAGAUUAGAAAGGGAUUAGUGACGGAAUCAAAAACUCACAAAUAUUUCAAUCGCUAAUUUUUGUUAAGCCCCUGCCAAAUAUUUCAUUUCCCCCGCUCCUCAUCCUAAUUAUUUUCAUUUCCCCCCAUUCUUCCUCCUAAAUCGACAUUCACCAGUUAUCUCUCAUGCUUGUUUCUGAAAUCCAAAGCCCAAAUCGACACUCGUCUUGCAAAUCGGCACUCAUCCCAAAUCGAUACUAAUAGUCGUCUUCUGUAUGUUCCUAAAACUCGAUUCCAACAGAAGGAAACCCUAGCCAAGACCCUCGAAAUCACGAUGACCCUUCCUGUAGAUGAAAUUUAACCCUAAUAUGGGAAGAAGCAAAGGACAGAGAGAAACAUGAAGACGAGAGUAGGACCACCGCAUCUGAUUCCUUUUGACCACUUCAUCACCGCCGAGACUGAAAUCCCAUGAACCACCAUCUCAACCUUUCUCACGAAAAUCUUAAUUCCUCACCAAGGUUAUCUCAAUCAUGUUUGUAAGGAAGUGAGAGGAACUAUUUGAAGAAUGCGAUGUCCCAGUUUCUAGUAGUGAAAUCGCCAGGAUGUGUAACUUACUCCUAAAGAUCAAGGAAACAACUUACCCACUUAACUAGACUUUGGAACUUUUGAUUUUUGUUAAUAGGUUUAGGAAAUAAGAAAUCGAAUAUGAAUGAUUAUUUUGUAAGUUGAAUUUAAUCUUUAUUUUGGUAGUUGGAUGUCAAUGUAAUAUUUUGGGGUAUAAAUUUGAAUUUCAUUUGUGAA